UUGGGCUUGUAUCAUAUUUUCCCUCCGGUUUAUAUGAUCCGUUCAUCCUAUAUUGACUCUUAGAAUUCAAGAGUCUAUCUAAAAUGAGGGUACUUUUUAUAUGGCCUUCCAAAUACCGUUUCGAUCCCUAACAUCACUGAAGAGACAUUUAUUGUCGAAAUCCAGAUCUAGUGUACUAAAAAAAUAUUGACACCGUAUGUUUGUGGCAUAAAAUCGUGGCCACAAAUUAAAAAUUCUUUUCUGUUUAGUAUUAAAUUUAUACUAAGAUCCAUUUUGUUACAUCUUGUGAUCAAUUUUAUUUGGCAAUCGCAAAUGGCAGUCGGAAGGGUUAAAGAACAUCAGUUGUUCGACCUGUUAGUCAAAUGCGUUUUGUUUAAAUAUACUUUUUCACUUGUUUGGUCUUUUGGAAAAUGUUGUUUGUGCUGUUUUUAGACCCUUCUACAACGAAAUUUGUUCUACAUGCACACGUAUAAAAAUUGUGGUUUUUAUUCAACGAAAUCAUAG
rnacentral:lncRNA from 1 species